UACGUAGGGUGCGAGCGUUGUCCGGAAUUAUUGGGCGUAAAGAGCUCGUAGGCGGUCUGUUGCGUCCGCUGUGAAAACCCGGGGCUUAACUUCGGGCUUGCGGUUGAUACGGGCGGGCUGGAGUUCGGUAGGGGAGACUGGAAUUCCUGGUGUAGCGGUGAAAUGCGCAGAUAUCAGGAAGAACACCCGUGGCGAAGGCGGCUCUCUGGGACGGUACUGACGCUGAGACGCGAAAGCGUGGGGAGCGAACAGG
rnacentral:rRNA from 1 species